GUGGGGAAUAUUGGACAAUGGGCGCAAGCCUGAUCCAGCCAUGCCGCGUGAGUGAUGAAGGCCUUAGGGUUGUAAAGCUCUUUCAGUGGGGAAGAUAAUGACGGUACCCACAGAAGAAGCCCCGGCUAACUUCGUGCCAGCAGCCGCGGUAAUACGAAGGGGGCUAGCGUUGUUCGGAUUUACUGGGCGUAAAGCGCACGUAGGCGGGUCGUUAAGUCGGGGGUGAAAUCCUGGAGCUCAACUCCAGAACUGCCUUCGAUACUGGCGACCUAGAGUCCGGAAGAGGUGAGUGGAACUCCUAGUGUAGAGGUGGAAUUCGUAGAUAUUAGGAAGAACACCAGUGGCGAAGGCGGCUCACUGGUCCGGUACUGACGCUGAGGUGCGAAAGCGUGGGGAGCAAACAGGAUUAGAAACCCUAGUAGUCC
rnacentral:rRNA from 1 species